rnacentral:rRNA from 1 species
GACGUAGGGCGCGAGCGUUGUCCGGAUUUACUGGGCGUAAAGAGCGCGCAGGCGGUCGUUCAAGUCGCGUGUGAAAGCCCCCGGCUCAACUGGGGAGGGUCACGCGAUACUGAUCGACUCGAAGGCAGGAGAGGGUAGUGGAAUUCCCGGUGUAGUGGUGAAAUGCGUAGAUAUCGAGAGGAACACCUGCGGCGAAGGCGGGUUGCUGGGCUGACACUGACGCUGAUGCGCGAAAGCUAGGGGAGCGAAGCGGG